UCAAAAUCCUUUAAGUUUCUGGUGAUUUUUUCAAAAUUCUUUAAGUGUCUGGGUAUUUACACUCAUUUAUCAUUUUUAGUAAUGAAAAGAACAUUUU